rnacentral:rRNA from 1 species
GACGAACGCUGGCGGCGUGCUUAACACAUGCAAGUCGAACGGAAAGGCCCUGCUUUUGUGGGGUGCUCGAGUGGCGAACGGGUGAGUAACACGUGAGUAACCUGCCCUUGACUUUGGGAUAACUUCAGGAAACUGGGGCUAAUACAGGAUAGGAGCUCCUGCUGCAUGGUGGGGGUUGGAAAGGUUCGGCGGUUGGGGAUGGACUCGCGGGUUAUCAGCUUGUUGGUGGGGUAGUGGCUUACCAAGGCUUUGACGGGUAGCCGGCCUGAGAGGGUGACCGGCCACAAUGGGACUGAGAUACGGCCCAGACUCCUACGGGAGGGAGCAGUGGGGAAUAGUGCACAAUGGGCGGAAGCCUGAUGCAGCAACGCCGCGUGCGGGAUGACGGCCUUCGGGUUGUAAACCGCUUUCGCCUGUGACGAAGCGUGAGUGACGGUAAUGGGUAAAGAAGCACCGGCUAACUACGUG